rnacentral:rRNA from 1 species
UACGUAGGGGGCAAGCGUUGUCCGGAAUCAUUGGGCGUAAAGAGCGUGUAGGCGGUUCGGUAAGUCGGCUGUGAAAGUCCAGGGCUCAACCCUGGGAUGCCGGUCGAUACUGCCGGACUAGAGUUCGGAAGAGGCGAGUGGAAUUCCCGGUGUAGCGGUGAAAUGCGCAGAUAUCGGGAGGAACACCUAUGGCGAAGGCAGCUCGCUGGGACGUUACUGACGCUGAGACGCGAAAGCGUGGGGAGCAAACAGG